rnacentral:lncRNA from 1 species
GAGAUCCUUUCUCCCCCAGUCUGAGAAGGAUAUGAAUACUUUACACAAAGAUUUCAUGAUGACCACCAAAUUCCUCUGCUUUUAUAAUUUUCCCUCAGGUUCCAUAUUCCAUGGAUAUUUUCAUGCAAAUUUACCUUUCACAAACUGAAGGGGCAUAUGGGUCUUCCAUGUUUAUCUCUUCAAGGCCAUUGUAAAUGGUAUAAGAACUGGGAGUCAAUGGAGGCUUACAUACUAGACAUAGAAAAAUAAUUUUGGCGCAAUCCUGGAUAUCUGGAUUAAACAGAUGCUGUCCAAAUCUCAUUUCUACAACAAAAAUCAACUGCAGCUGCACAGUUAGCUAAGAUAUGUAGAUGAGGAGAUUUUAUUCAACAAAUGGAAAAAAUACUCCAACAAAUCAAAGAUGAAGUUCCCAACAAUCAACAUUCACCGGCAAAAUCAGACACAAAUGAUGAAAAAG